AUUGAACGCUGGCGGCAGGCCUAACACAUGCAAGUCGAACGAGUGGCGGACGGGUGAGUAAUGUCUGGGAAACUGCCCGAUGGAGGGGGAUAACUACUGGAAACGGUAGCUAAUACCGCAUACCAUCGGAUGUGCCCAGAUGGGAUUAGCUAGUAGGUGGGGUAACGGCUCACCUAGGCGACGAUCCCUAGCUGGUCUGAGAGGAUGACCCGCCACACUGGAACUGAGACACGGUCCAGACUCCGACGGGAGGCAGCAGUAGGGAAUAUUGCACAAUGGGCUGAAGCCUAAUGCAGCCAUGCCGCGGGGAUGAAGAAGGCCGUCGGGUUGUAAAGUACUUUCAGCGAGGAGGCGUUCCUCGCAGAAGAAGCACCGGCUAACUCCGUGCCAGCCGCCGCGGUAAUUC
rnacentral:rRNA from 1 species